rnacentral:sRNA from 1 species
UAAUGGUCAUCGUAUCAGAACAGUCAC